GCUUGACUUACGGCAUAUUUGAUUUAAUUUGGACAGAGGGACUCCCAUUUUUGACGGAAGCAAAUGUCAUUGCUGAAAUAGUUUAAUUUCCAAAAUACAAGGUCCAAGUUGUUAUUAAUGGUAAAAUCUAGGGAAUAAGUUAUAUACUUCCCUUAAAAAAAAACUACUGGUCAGUUGUAACAUUUUGUUCCCCGUGAAUCGUGAUAAUACUCAUCUGAUCAAAAUCACAUUGGACCUCUCAUUUUCUGUGAAAUCAUUAGACAAACUACUUUGAACAUGUUCUUGCAUUAAUUAUCUAUUUGCUUGCAAACACCAUUUACUUCUUCUGCUCUGAUCAUUGUUGAAGGAUAGUUUUGGGAAAACUGAUCUCUGUAUAAAGGGAAGAAUUAUCUAUGAAUGCUCAUCAUUUUUUUUCUCUCCCUUAGCAUUUGAU
rnacentral:misc_RNA from 1 species